rnacentral:rRNA from 1 species
UACGUAGGGCGCAAGCGUUAUUCGGAAUUACUGGGCGUAAAGGGCUCGUAGGCGGCUCGUUAAGUCAGACGUGAAAGCCCUCGGCUUAACCGGGGAACGGCGUCUGAUACUGGGUGGCUUGAAUCCGGGAGAGGGAUGCGGAAUUCCAGGUGUAGCGGUGAAAUGCGUAGAUAUCUGGAGGAACACCGGUGGCGAAGGCGGCAUCCUGGACCGGUAUUGACGCUGAGGAGCGAAAGCCAGGGGAGCAAACGGG